ensembl:lncRNA
UCCAGAGCUGCUCCUGUUCUUGCUCAAAAGGGAAAGAGGAAUUCUGUCCUGGUGGAGGCUCCUAGCAGAAUGGGGGCAGCGGAGGCAGUGGUAUCUGAGAGUGGAGGAGAGCAGGGUGGGUGAGGAGGGGCAGGAAGCCAGGUGCCCCGUCUGUCACCUUCCCUGGAGCUGGGGGUGACAGUGGAGGACUGUCUGGGAAGCCAGAGCAAGAAGCCUGGGGAGGCUUGGGUGGCACUCCCGAGUCCCUGUUUCCGACAAACGCUGUGCUGCAGGCUGACAAAACCAACUCGAGUGUGCACCAGGCCAUCCUGCUCUCUGCCAGUUCAGACGCUCAGACAGCGGGCUCUGGCUUCCAUCCUCCCUGACAUCUGAAUCACGGCGAGGCAGGAGGCAGGGCCCGGCCGGCUCCGGAGCGGGGAAAUGAUAAACAGAUGUCAGAGGACAAAGGGGCAGGAUGUGCUUGGAGGUUUGUGGCACAUCAGGCCUGCUUGCAACAGCCUUUCUCGCUCGGGAACCGAGAGGGUGGCGAGACCAUGACAAAGGGAACCUGAUGGCAGAGGGGUUAAAGCCAUGGCCUUUGAAGCCUCACAGGCUGGGCAUAAUCCUGGCUCCACCACUUGCUCAUUGUGUGACCCCAGACGAGUUAUUUAAUCUGAUGUGUAAAGUAUGGAAAAUCAUCGUCCUUUACUCAAGACCGUGGCUUUGGAUGGAUUAAAUAAGAUGAUGCAUGAAAAAGACUUAACACAGUGCCUGGCACACCACGCUCAACAAAUUUAGUUGUUUAUGCUGCUGCUGCUGCUGGUAGUGCUGCUUGGGGCAUGGGUCCUGCUAGAUGAAAUGUUUAUUUGUCCAGCAAAUACACACUGUGCUCUGCUUGGUGCCAGGAGCCACGGCACCACCCUAGAUAUGACAGGCUGGGAGAGGCUGUGCCAAGAAGCCACUCUUGGCCACAGAGUGCCAUCUAGACCCAGAACCCCCUGGACCAUUCUUCAAAUGAGAAGGCUAUGAAAGUAGCAGUAUGCAGGAAGCAUUGAAUGUGUCAGGACCUGACACCAUCAUCAGCUAGUGGCAGUGCAUGCCCUCCCGCAAGUUCCCUCUGCCAGACAGACUCUUAGUCAGCCUUCAAAACCCAGCCCAAAUGGCCCGUUUUUCCAGGCAGCCUUUCCCAAACAGCCUGAGCCCUCCUAGCACUUGAUGUCUGGCUUGGUUGUGGCACUUGCCAACUUCUAGUGGUGCAAAUGUUUACUCUUGUCUCUUUUUGGACUAGAGGGUGAGUGUGGGUAGGAAAUGUUUGGGGAACAAAAUAUAGUGAUACUUAGCUGUGUGGGUUAUGGAAUCAGUCAUGUGUGGGUUGAUAUCCUUGGAUACACCAAAUUUUGUGACCUUGGUGAAUUAGUUAACAUCUCUAAGCAUCAGUCACUUUACCUAUAAAGCCGAGCAAAAAUAUAGAUUUCCUGAAGCUGUUAUGAGGCUAAAAAGAGUCACUUGCCACCAAGGGCUUCGCAUAGAACCUGACACACAGGAAUCACUAGGGACACUUGCUAACAUGAUUGGCUUUCUAUCUUUGUGUCUGUCUAGUCUUACCCUGGUUCUUGGCCUAUUGCAGGUGCUCUAUAAUUAGUUAUCAAUUGAAUAAAAUCAAUUCCCAAUCCCAGGACUCAGGAUCAAAAUCUAUCAAAUGAGGCCAUUUCAGCUAAAUCCUCUGCACCCAAAGAAAUUCUAAAGCAGUCCAGACCUACCCCUUCAAUUAGCAGAUGGGGAACUGAGGCCUGUGCAAUUGCGUGGGGCCACUGCAUGCAAGCAAAGGCACUCAGAUUCUCCUUGGUGAGCUGGAAUGUUAUUUUGGUUAGUUCUGCAGAGCGCGGGCUCUCAAUAGCCAGUCUCUUUCCCAUCUGAGCUGUUUUGUGUAGAGGAAAUAUCAAGGUGUAUGAUGUCAAGGCAGUUAAGUAAUCCAAGCAGCUGUGUAAACAUCUGGAAGUAGUAGAGACACAGCCCCCGAGUGAAAGCAGGGAUCAGUGCACCCAGACGUCUCGGAGAGGCUUCUAAACCAUCACCUGUGAGGAGCCAGCUAGGAGAGCAGUGCUCUGAUCAGAAACCUAAGCAUGCGUUCUUUGCUCUUCAGGCUCUGAGUCGUGGAGGCCAAGGAGGACAAGAAGGCCCCUGUGCCUGGUGUGACUUUGGAAAGUGGAUGUGAGGUUUAGGAAAGUCCUGCUAAUGACAUGUCAGCAGCAGCUGGAAACAAGUUGUCAGAUUCACAGGGAAUUGCCUCUUCUCACUCUUUCCCCAUGGCAGGGAGUGGAGGUGGACUGCCCUGAGCCCAGAUGCCCAAGAGAAAAGGCAGGGGCGUCUAGGGCUUCGCACUGGGAAUCCCCAAUCUGCUUUCUCCUUAGAAGUGAAUAUUCAUGACCCAGAGAGGCCAGUGGCAAAAGGUUCUGCAGGAGCUUCUAGCCCACUGCUCGAGUCCUGGAUGAGGGAAGAGGAGUCCAGAGAAGGAGGCUGCAUGGCCAAGGUCACACAGCUGGGAAGGGAAAGACUCAGAAGCAGGAGCCAAGCUUCCUGACUCCAAAUCCACGCCAGUUUCCCUAUUACCCAAUCGUCCUCUCUCCCUAUUUAAAAUUAUUCUAAUAGUAUUUAUCAUUUCUUUUUUGUAUCUAAUUACAAAGGGAACAUUGUAAGAAAUGUGGAAAACACUCAGAAGCACAAAAUGAAAUUGUCAAGGUCUCUAGAUGGAUUGAAUCCGUGGUCGCGCCUUUGGUAAACCUGCUCUCUUUUCUUGACAAUCCCUGGACAGGUGCGGUCUGUGGUUUCCUGGGACAAGAUUUUAUAAUUUGCAUGUAGAGAACACAAGGCAAAGGGGAUCCUGGAUUCUGUUGGCCCCUCGUGAACUAUGGCGUCUCCUCUGAACCUCAAUUUUCUCAUCCGUAAAAGGGGUUAUCACAUAUACCUUAGAGUAAAUCGAAUAAGGGCAAAGAUACACAAUUGCUUUAUAAAACAUAAAGUAUGUUGUUCAAAGAACAAAUGAAUGGUAAUGAGGGCAAUGGCCGGCACUUGAGGAGGGUGGUGUUGGCUUCUGCCACAGGCCCCCUGGGGCCCACUUUUUGGCUCACUGCAGCACAGCUUCCUUCCUCCUCCCCAAGUCCAAUUCCAGCUCUCAGGCCAGCCCCUCUCCCACUCGACCCCCAUGACAGUCCCCAAAAUGAGGCCCUGCUCCAGAACCCUCCAAGGAUGGAUGAAUAGGCUGGUGGGCACUGGGGGGUGGCCAUGGGGGCUAGGGUGGCCACAGGGGGGACAGGCAGCUCUCUUUCACCUAGAGUAUCUUCCUUUGCUGGACCUGAAAGCCUGCCAGGCUUAUUGCUCAGAUCCAUGAUCCCAGUCACCUUGGGCUGGUAACUCUGUCCCAGAUAAAAUGCCAGCAAUUUCUCCUAUUGCUUCCUAUAGUUUCCCUACCCUGAGUGGGAAGGAUUUUCAUACCCAUUUUAUAGAUGAGGAAAACAAGGCUGUUGGCACUCCUAACGGAAAUGUUUGCCUAUGAAAAGGAAGCUCUCAAGAACCCAUAGGAACCAAGGUGGUGCUUCAGUUGCUGGGUCUGAGCUGUUGUUGGUUGGGGGCCGUGGGGUCCUGAGGCGGUCCUGUCUUCCUUAAUCCUGUUGCAGGCAUGUGGGGACUAGAAGUGGCCUUCAUCGCCCCUGCCUCUCCUCCUUGUCUGUGGAGCAGGACGGAGAUGGGUGACAUGCUGUCACUCCCCUGUGCACCAGCAGAGAGAGCAGGAACAGAGACUGGUGCUGGCUCAUGCCAGCUGAGCACUAAGGAGGUCCACUGGCUGGGAUUCCACUGGUGUCUGUCCCUGGGCGUCACCACACCUGGGAGGCUGGCGUGGGUGCCUGAGACCAGGAAGGUGCUUGAGACCCAUGAGGGUCUUGGCAGGUGCUGGCCACCCCUCAUUAAUCACCUCAACUGAAUCUGGACUUCAAGGGACAAAGGCGUUCACUGGAGUUCAGCGGCUUCCAUUUAUCAGGCAGAUGUAAUCUCCUCAAAUAGCUGCCAAGUCCUGCUCUUCCUGGAGUUCCCUAAGACAACUGCUUCCCCAGGAGGUGAAGGGGCAUUUCCUUCCCCAGGAAGAGAUGCCAUCUGCAUGCAGAGGUCUAUCACCACUCCUCACCUGAUGCCGAGGCUCUUGGAAGCCUGAGCCCACCAGUCCUGGGGGAUCUUCCCACUGCUCACAGAAGGCUAAGUAACUGGUCCUUAGAGAAUGCUUGCCGAUUGGAUGGAUGGAUAACAGAUGAGUGAGUGGAUAAAUACACCGAAGAGUUCAACACAGUUAGGGAGGCUGAGUGACCCCUGGCAAUGCUGGGCAAAGAGAAAGAAUAAGCAGAGUCACUUGGCUGCGCUGGAGCAGAGAGGCUGGCAGUAGAGGGAUCUCGAGGACUCUCAGAAUCACUGGGAAAGCUGGAGACACAGACUUGGAAAUGGACCAGAACCAAGAAAGGACCACGCCGUUCCAGACGGAUUUGCCUACUUGGGAUUCCCAUGUUUCACAGACUCAGGGCCCAUGUUCUCUCCCAGUUGUUGGGUAAACUCUGGGUUUUACAGACAAGGACUCUGGAAGGAGGCUCCCAGUGAAGGCUGACACCAGGGCUCUUUGGUUCAUGAAGCAAAGAACAAAUGCAGCCAAUCCCAGGACACCGAGGAACCAAGGUCCUCCUCGUCAAGAACUGGGGGUGCAGUUGGGGAAGAAUGGCUUGCUUCUCUGGGCUCCCUCUUGCUGAACUGAGCGAGGGCUCUACUUCUGCAAAAAGGGCAGAGCAUCGGGUGCCAGCCAAGUGCCUGCUCGGGCACCAGGGAAGCAGCUGGAAUUUGCCUGGAAACCACAAUGCUGUCGGCUUGGUUCUCAAUAGGCAACUGGGGACAAGACUGCAUUUGAUGGUCCAUCACCUGUCUUUCUGUUCUGCAUAAUAAGAACCCAUUCUCGGGGCAUCUUAUUGGCUCUGCUGAGUUUCGCAUUGUUUGGUUUCCUGUAAAGGCACUCAGUAGGGGAUCCCAGAGCCAUACUGAGUCGAAGCUUCAGGAGAUGCAGAGACACAUCUGCAAGGGCCCCAGCAACCAGUGACCUAAACCUACUUGAGAAGCAGUGGAGGACAAAGGAAGAUCCGCACAAACUGAGUCCUGGGUCUGUCUCCCACAAGCAGGACAUCUCAGGAAAGGAUUCCUGCUCCCCAACUCCUAAUGGCCAUAAGGGUAACUUCUACUCAAGCUGCUGCACCCACCACUUCCUCCCAGAAGCCCUCUGAUUCUGACUCUCAUUCCAUGCCUGGUCCAAACUCCUCUCUCUGAACUUGCAUUUAUGUCAGCACCACAGCAGGUGGUCCUGAUUGCUGGGUGACACCAGCCAGAGCAGGGCUUCUCCCCUCCUGAAAGGGGAUGGCGGGAUGUCUGAUGGCAUUUGCCGCAAAAUCCCUCCUGAUUAAUCAGGCUCCUCCAAUUUGUGAGUCAGAAUUUCUUGGGGAGAGAAAUCUGCCUUGAGUGGAAUUAUCCUGAACUCUGAUAUCAAUGCAGGGGGGAAAAAGAGUCAUUUGUAGCCUGGCAACAGAGAUCUGCAUGUUCUUCCUUCAUGCCAAGCCAUAAACACAGCCUUCCCUCUGCUAAACCUAAUGUUACUAAAAGGCCAGUGACCAGGAGAAAUCAAGGCAACAGCAUCCACAUCUGUAGGCACUGGUGGUGCGAGGAGGCCAGCAGGGAGCAACACAGAAAUCAGUACUGUGAACGAUGGGAGUUCAGGAGGAACCCAAAAGCUCUUCGGAGAGGGAGAUCCUACCAAACUCCAGGCUCCAUUUCCUGUACUGGUCAGUGAUGAGCUUCUGGAGGCCAGGAGGGGCAAGAGCACACCUUGAGGAAGGGCUGCAACUUGAACUUGGACAAUGGAGUCACACCCUGCCACUUGCCUCUGCUGGGAGCCCUUCCGGCUCCCUCCUGGGCACUCCCUGCUGGCUGCUGACGCUACCUCCCACCCGGCCUCCAUGCUUCGCUCCUGUGCAUUUUCCUCUGGUCUAGGCACAAAACCUUCACCUCAGCAUACACAGCAGGCUUGAAUGUUUCCAAGCCNNNNNNNNNUUUUUUUUUUUUUCAUCUUUUUAGGGCUGCGCUGUGGCAUAGGGAAGUUCCCAGGCUAGGGGUUGAAUUGGAGAUGCAGCCACAGCAACGCCGGAUCUGGGCCGCAUCUGCAAUCUAUGCCGUAGGUUGUAGCAAUGCCGGAUCCUUAACGCACUGAGUGAGGCCAGCUGUUGAAUCCGCAUCCUCAUGGCUACUAGCCAAGUUCUUACCCUCUGAGCCACAGCAGAAACUCGCAAGCCAAGUAUUCUUGAAGCAAAGGAAGAAACAGGCUGAAACACUAGCUCGGGAGCAACCUCCCCAUCCACCUUUUAGCACCAUCUUAGAGAGGCCGUGUGGAGAAGUGGUUAAGAAUAUGGUCUCAGGGCCAGACUCCCUGGAAGCAAAUCCUAAUCAUCAGGAGGGUGGCCAUGGGCAAGUCGCUUCCCUCUGAACUUCGGUUUUCUCCCCUCUGAAAUGAAGAUGGAUGUAAUUCCUAUUUUUAAAAAAGGGAUUUAUGCGAGGCCCUUACAACAGUGUCUGGCAAAAGAAAAUAAAUGCCAAAGGAUGCUG